AGGGGGAGGGCAGGAUCCUGGGCUGUGUCCCCUGGCGCCCUCGGCUCUGGGGCCUGCGCCACUGGAAUCGUGCUCUGGAGGCUGCACAGCCCCCU
rnacentral:pre_miRNA from 1 species